rnacentral:rRNA from 1 species
UACGAAGGGGGCUAGCGUUGCUCGGAAUCACUGGGCGUAAAGCGCACGUAGGCGGACUCUUAAGUCGGUGGUGAAAUCCUGGAGCUCAACUCCAGAACUGCCUCCGAUACUGGGAGCCUUCGAGUCCGGGAGAGGUGAGUGGAACUGCGAGUGUAGAGGUGAAAUUCGUAGAUAUUCGCAAGAACACCAGUGGCGAAGGCGGCUCACUGGCCCGGUACUGGACGCUGAG